rnacentral:rRNA from 1 species
GACGAACGCUGGCGGCGUGCUUAACACAUGCAAGUCGAACGGAAAGGCCUGCUUUCCCUUGUGGAUUGCGGGUACUCGAGUGGCGAACGGGUGAGUAACACGUGAGUGAUCUGCCCCCAACUUGGGUAUAAGCCUGGGAAACUGGGUCUAAUUCCCGAUAGGACUGCAGGGUGGUGCCUGUGGUGGAAAACGAUUUUCUAGUGGUUGGGGAUGAGCCCGCGGCCUAUCAGCUUGUUGGUGGGGUAAUGGCCUACCAAGGCGGCGACGGGUAGCCGGCCUGAGAGGGUGGACGGGCACAUUGGGACUGAGAUACGGCCCAGACUCCUACGGGAGGCAGCAGUGGGGAAUAUUGCACAAUGGGCGGAAGCCUGAUGCAGCGACGCCGCGUGGGGGAUGACGGCCUUCGGGUUGUAAACUCCUUUCGACCGCGAGGAAGCCACCUGGUUGGAAGGGUGGUGACGGUAGUGGUAGAAGAAGCACCGGCUAACUACGUG